UGCGGAUGGGAAGCGCAAUGCUCAGUUUUGAGCAUACUUUACUGGUAUCCCUUAUGACCUUUUAUGUGUCUCUCAACUGUCAAAUUUGAAAGUACCAAUUUCUUAUUUACUCUGGUUAUUAUUAGUUCAUUUCAUAUUAUGUUAGGUUACUACGACUUUCUCUAUAUUCAUCUGUUUUGACACUCAUGUUAGGCAUCAUUCAAUUCUAAAGAAAAUUUUAAUUGCUUUCUGAUUUUCAAAAUCAGUAAUAUGACAAGCAUGAAAAGCGAUUUUCUAAGGGGUUUUGGUUGUAUCUAUCAAAUUUUGAAUUUCCGUAGGUCUUGGUGUGAAGCAUAGUGGUUGUGAUUUGUGUGUGAACCAGAAUAUAUUUCCCAGUUUUCUUUGUUGUUAUGUAAUUACAAUUUAUAUCUCAAUGUUUUUUACUCGGGUUUGGUACAGUUACUAUUCUUUGUUGUGAAAUUUAUAAUUUUUUGAUCAUAUUGUUGAAUAAAAUCUUCAAUAGUUUAUUGCGAUCAAUUUAGUUUUUAGGGGUCUGAUUAGUUGGGUUUUUUUUGCUACUUCCCAAACAAGAUUGAGGGGUUUUAAUCCAAUUUAGGUUAUGAUUACUUUGUAGUUCGAAUUAAUUAUAGGCCGGAACUUUGUCUAAAAUAUCAAGUUUAGACAGUAAUUGAAUUGUCUGUUUUGCUUAAUUUCUAGCAGCAUUGUGUCUUGAUUUACACUGAGUUUGCCAAUUUUGUAAAAUUGUGUAUACACGAUCAUGAGAUACUUCAUUGAGUCAACCAAGAAUAAUUUGUUGCACUUUUGAAGAGAAUGUGUUGGACCGAUGUCCCGAGAAAUAGUAGUAUAUAAAUCUAGAUUUUCUGGUUGGGUCAUGAUUAAGUGUGCCAUGAAUUGAGGAUUUUUUUGCGAAGCAGGCACACAUUGGGAUAUUGAUAUUAGGAGUUUGGCCUUUCUACUGAAAGAUCUUCUUUCCGCGCCUAGGGUUUUCAUGUGAAAGAACGAGGAGAAUGGUAACAGGAUAAGGGUGGUGAAUUUUAAUCAGAUGUUAAUCAGUCUAACGAUCAUGUUAAUCAGAUGUUUUGGAAAGGGAAAGAACAGCAAUAGAUUAAUAAUCAAACCAACUGCGAAGACGAGAAGUAGAUAACAGCUUAGCAAAACAAUUAGUUUUGACCGUUAGACUCCAAGCUGAAAAUAUGCACAAUGUUGAGUGGGUUUUUCAGUUUUGAUGGGAUAGGGAAAUGUUGCACAUUGGCAGUGCUUAAGUUUUGCUUCUUCAUUCUUAAAGAAUUGAUUCUGUCAGACUGAACUUUUGGGGGAAAGCAUUUAUCAAUAAGCACUAUAGUGUUAUGACUAGCUGAUAUAGUUAACUCCUCAAAGAGACAUUAGAUCAAUAUUGUUUUUAUAUAUUUAUUAGUAGAUGAUACAUAUUGUUUGCUUGUUAAUGCAUCUAUGUUGUCUAUUUUUUUAGUAGGUUAUCUUGGUUUAGGGGCUAACUAUGGUGCAGAGAUGGACUUCUUGGCGUUGUGGUAUAAACAAUCUGGAGAGUACAAAUGCUUGAGGAGAUCCUAUGCCGAUGUUUUCUAAUGCAACAUUUUGUGAUCCCUUUAUCUUAGGGUAGGUCUAGAGGUCAUAACCAUCAUGGUUUCUCAUAUGGUUAUUUGAUGUCCUGCUGAUGAUUUUAUGCCAGCAUUGUUUUUUUCAUUUCACAUAAAGCUAGAUUGUGAGUUCCCAACCUUCAGAUUAGAGUCCGAGUGAUUCUUAUGUUUGAUUUUGAAAUAAUACUAGGCUAUGUUUUUCAUUGAACGUUUGUCUA